rnacentral:rRNA from 1 species
GUGCCAGCAGCCGCCGCGGUAAUACGAAGGGUGCAAGCGUUACUCGGAAUUACUGGGCGUAAAGCGUGCGUAGGCGGUUUGUUAAGUCAGAUGUGAAAGCCCCGGGCUCAACCUGGGAAUGCAUUUGAUACUGGCGAGCUAGAGUACGGUAGAGGGUGGUGGAAUUCCCGGUGUAGCGGUGAAAUGCGUAGAGAUCGGGAGGAACAUCUGUGGCGAAGGCGGCCACCUGGACCAGUACUGACGCUGAGGCACGAAAGCGUGGGAAGCAAACAGGAUUAGAUACCCUGGUAGUCCACGCCCC